UGACCCGUUGCAGUUCACCCCAGAAAUGAUGGUGUCAUUCAUGCUUCCAGUGGCAUCGCGGACCACACAGGCUGCUGUGGAGACAAUUAUGUUUCCCCUACAGGAAGCAGAAAACCACUGAGAAGUCCACUUUGGUAAAACAGUCAUCAGUCCUCCAUAGUCGACCAGCCUGGCUACUGAAAUUCCUAGGAGAAUCACUACUGUGAUGGAGCCUAUUAUCCGGAUGUCAUUGGUUGGAU